GAUUGCAGGCUGCAACUCGCCUGCAUGAAGUCGGAAUUGCUAGUAAUCGCGGAUCAGCAUGCCGCGGUGAAUACGUUCCCGGGCCUUGUACACACCGCCCGUCACACCAUGAGAGCCGGUAACACCCGAAGUCAGUAGUCUAACCGCAAGGGGGGACGCUGCCGAAGGUGGGGCUGGUGAUUGGGGUGAAGUCGUAACAAGGUAAC
rnacentral:rRNA from 1 species